rnacentral:rRNA from 1 species
AGAACGAACGCUGGCGGCGACGUCUUAAACAUGCAAGUCGAACGAUCUGUAGCAAUACAGGGAGUGGCGGACGGGUGAGGAACACGUAGGAAUCUACCUUGAAGAGCGGGACAACUUUGGGAAACCGGGGCUAAUACCGCAUAGUACAGAGAUGUUAAAGGGCUAGCAAUAGUCGCUUCGAGAUGAGCCUGCGGUCUAUCAGCUUGUUGGUGAGGUAAUGGCUCACCAAGGCUACGACGGAUAGCCGGUCUGAGAGGAUGAUCGGCCACACUGGCACUGAGACACGGGCCAGACUCCUACGGGAGGCAGCAGUUAAGAAUCUUGCGCAAUGGGGGAAACCCUGACGCAGCGACGCCGCGUGAAGGAUGAAGGCUUUCGGGUUGUAAACUUCGGUAGACUGGGAAGAAGAAAUACGUUCGUUGAGGGCGUAUAGUGACGGUACCAGUCUGAAGCCCCGGCUAAUUACGUG